UCGUGUUCGAUCAGUGUUAUUUCACUCGUUGCGCACCUGCGAGCGAUUUGCGGCGCGAUUUCGGAUAAAAGAGAGGAAAAAUAGAGCAAGUUGAUAUGGUAGAAACGUAUCAAGGGUUUAAAGAAAAAGUAAUCAUCGAUUCAACUUCAAAGAUGCCCCAAUAAAGGAAACCCACUUUACAAGAAACAGCAAUUAUGAGAUCAACGUUACUUCCCGACCUACCUAAUCAUUCGCUCGUGAUUUUAUGAAUAUCGCUCAAAGAUCGUUACCUAAUAAUCAGAGCUAGACCAUUGUGUAAUACAUAAUCGUUCGAAGAGGACCAUUGAUAACGUCGGACAUUCGCAGCGAUAUCGUGGUAAUAUUUCAGUCAAGCUGCCAAUAAAUUACAUCACUUGCUGUCUGAUAGUCGGUGUAUCGGUCGAUACGUGCUGUGUGUUUGUGAAAGACACAUUUUUAUGCGGCGUCGCGCGAACGUCGAACGUGAUCCUAAAAACGUGUUCGAUGCCAGACAUUGGCGGAAGGAUUUGUCGCGAUCGUAAUUAAAAUCGCGGGAGAAACGUGAAACGAAUCAUGUCGUUGGAUAAAACGGACACGACAGGACAAUUUGUGAAAGUACGAUCUGAGAGGACUGGCUUUAAACCUAUUGAACGAUGGCGUAUCACGAGGAAUGUUCUGAUAAUUGGAAUCGCGUUUAUGGUGAACUUCACGGCAUUCAUGGGGGCGACGAAUUUACAGAGCUCGAUUAAUGCCGAUGGAUCGUUGGGUACCUUCACGCUGGCAUCAAUUUAUGGCAGUCUGAUCUUCAGCAAUAUCUUUCUGCCGACUCUGAUUAUAAGCUGGCUGGGCUGUAAAUGGACCAUAUCAUUGUCAAUUCUAACUUACGUGCCGUUUAUGGCUGCACAAUUCUACCCAAAAUUCUACACCAUGAUACCAGCUGGGUUGAUGGUUGGUAUCGGUGCAGGGCCACUCUGGUGCGCCAAAUGCACCUAUUUAACGGUCGUCGCAGAAGCAUACACCACUCUAUCGAAUGUGGCUCAGGAUGUCCUCGUCACAAGAUUCUUCGGCCUGUUUUUCAUGUUUUACCAGAUGGCACAAGUCUGGGGGAAUCUUAUAUCUUCGGCAGUCCUUUCAUAUGGAAUCGACACGGUGCCAACGAAUAUUACAUUGAAUAGUAGCAUUGUGGCGGAAGCGUGUGGUGCCAAAUUUUGCGGUGCAACUUCCGAUACCGACGACAGUCCAAAUUUGGAACGACCUCCAGAGGAAAGAAUUCAUCUAAUUUGCGGCAUCUAUUUGGGCUGUAUGAUAGUCGCUUCAUUGAUUGUGAUGUUUGGAGUUGACUCACUCUCGAGGUAUGAUAGAGGUAGAUCAGGAUCAGCGACAGGCCAGUCAGGAUUCAAAUUGUUGGCUGUGACACUGAAACUAUUGAAAGAGAAAAACCAGAUCCUUAUACUGCCAAUAAUAAUAUUCAUUGGAGCGGAGCAAGCAUUCUUAUUCGCUGAUUACAAUGCUUCAUUUGUCUCAUGUGCAUGGGGAAUCAACAAUAUAGGUUACGUAAUGAUUUGUUUCGGUGUGACGAACGCUAUAGCUGCUUUAGGUACAGGAUCUAUAAUGAAACUAACAGGAAGAAGGCCUUUGAUGAUAUUCGCUUUUUGUAUUCACAUGGGAAUUUUUGCUUUCCUGUUACGUUGGAAACCCACUCCUGAACAAAAUCAAAUAUUCUUUUUGAUGUCUGGAUUAUGGGGUCUUUGUGACGCUAUGUGGCUAGUACAAAUAAACGCUCUGUCAGGUUUGCUGUUCCCAGGCAAAGAAGAAGCCGCUUUUUCGAACUUCCGACUAUGGGAGUCCACAGGUUCUGUGAUCACAUACGUGUACAGUCCUUACCUCUGCACUCAAACGAAGCUGUACUGUCUAAUAGCAAUCCUCUGUCUUGGAAUGAUUGGUUACGGUAUAAUCGAGUGGACUGGGAAAGCCGAUAGAUCGGUUCCAGAAUCGAAACCAGAUUUCGAAUUGGUGACAAAUGGCGAAUUGAACGACACGACGAAACUUUGAGUUGACGAGAAUAAAAUUAAUGAAUCCUUUCAAUUAGAAAUAUGAUCUCUUCUCAGACGUUGUACUGUAUGAACCUCAGUUUUGUUAGUUAGUUUAAAACAAUAAUUCUCAGGUAUAAAUGCUUCGUCAUGAUGUGAAUAGAAAAUUACAGGAGUUUUGUUGAUAUCUAAAAUUAUUUUAUAAUCGAGUUAUUGUGUUAAAGAGAGGGCGGUGAAUUAAAGAAGAAAGAAAAAGAGCUGAUUUUACUAGCGAUAAUUCUUCGGAUUAUUUUGAAAACGCUCGACAAUAGGAAUAUCGGUGUGAAUAAUAUUAUAAUUGCGGUAUACAUAUCGUAUAUAUAGAAAUCAUACACAAAUCAGAUCGGCAUAUAAAAAAUUAUAUGUACAAGAAAGAGUUCGGUUGGAGGCGCAGUCAGGACCUUGAAGGUACGAUCUUUUGUGUGAUUUGUACCAUAAUAUAUGUUUUUAUUUUAUUCUUGUGGACACCUACUAGAUUUUACACAGAUAGUUCGCUUAACCGCUAAAGAUUCUUUUCUCCGUCUCUUCUUCAUGUUUUUUUCCUUUUUUUUUCUUGUCUCUUUAAAUACGUAGUUUAAUGUUACAUCGUGUGUCUAGGUGCUAACAUUCAAGCUAAAGCUACGGCUGCUUAAUUUAAUUGUAUACUUAAUGUGCUUAAUUUCCUUUUCACUGUACGCGUGAUGUGUCUCAUGUAUGUAGGUAUCUCAGUAUAUUAUGUAUGUAUACAUGUAUAUAUGUGUUUGUAAAUGCGAUAAAGUAUUGUCUAUCUGUAUGUAUGUAUAAUAUGUAUCUCUGCGAGUGUCUAUCUGUAUGUAUGUAUGUAUGUAUGUAUGUAUGUAUGUAUGUAUGUAUUAACGCGUUUUCCUCUCUCGUAGUAUGUUCCGUUUUAUGCUCAUCGUUUAUUGUGCUGUCACGAUCAAUUGUCCCCCGUCUCUUUUAAAUUGCGAAGGCGAUGGUAUAUUACAAGAUUAUUUGCCGCUUGAUAUUUAUCGCGUGGUCCGUUACGCGGAUCUUCUUGAAUUUGUCUGAAUUUCGUAUUAAUAAAUAAUAAACGAAUCGCGACGUGGAAUCAAUUGACCUUGCAUCCCUCGUCUGUUUGCGUCGUUCGAUUGCUGAUUGUAUUUGUGGAUCGUGUGCUAGCUUAACCCUCGUUUAUGUACAAUUCAAGUUUUGCAGUUCAGUUAUAUACUUUAUAAAACGUAGUAGGAACUUUGGUUUCGCUGGGCAAUGUUUCAAGAGCAGUUUCCUCUUUUUGUUCGUGCCACGAACUUAUCUUCCUUUUUAUCUUUUUUUUUUUUGUUUUUUACUGUCAUUUAUUUUUCAUCCUCGAUUAUUUAGUAUUUUUCAUCAUUUCUUUCUGUUUCUUUAAAUUAUUUUCUAUUCGUUCUUUCGUUCUGAAAACACAUAAUUCCGUUAUUUUAUUUGUCAAGCGUAGCAAUGCGUGUAUUUUCAUCUCUGAAUAUAACCUGAACAUGAAAAUUCGGCCGGAAACUGCUAUAAAACAUUCGCCCGUGGAUCUAUCUUCCUUAGAAAUAUGACACUCACGAAUACAGUUCACGUUUUUUUUUUUUUUCUUUAAUACUCAUGUUUAUAUUUCCGUAAUGACCUAUUGAAUAUCAAUUUUUUUUUUCACGAAGAAAAUACACAUGAUUCGUAAA